rnacentral:lncRNA from 1 species
UCUGGUCCAGUUAAUCUGUCAGGUUCAUUUCACUCUAAUUGCAAUAAGAACCAAUUCUCAGCUCCAGACUACCCACUUCUCAGUCUGUACACGACUAUCACUAGCAUUUAUGAGAUUGGGAGCAAAAAGUAAACACUGUCCUAAUGAUCUUCAUGGGGUCAACUGGCAGGUACAUGUUGAUUAGAGGCCAAGAUCAAAUAGUGAUAUUGAUUUAGUCAUUAAGUUCCUCUCGGUUUUCCAGUCUCACUAAUUUUAAUCCUCUUCUCUUUUUCAGGUGCUCAGUUGUCCUUGUGGAACCACUGCCUUUGCUAAAAACUAAAUUAUUAUUAAUGUUUCUUUCUGAACAAAAUGUGAGGUGAAAUGCCGUGUCCUUGUGGUACCACAUGUAAACAGCUUCAGUUAUGUUUUACCUGGGAGUAAACCUCAGGAUAACUUUGAUCUUCUGGCUAGGAUGCUCAGAUACAGGAUGCUCAGAUGCCUGCUGGGAAUCAUGAAGUCUCUCCAAUCAUACUCAUCCUGAGAAGAGUAAGCUUCCCUGACUUCCUAUGAUGUGACAGACACUGUGCUGAUUGCUUUGCAUGCACACCACCACCACAGACCCUGUCCAAGAUGGAGAAGUGUAGCCUGACAGGACCCAGUAAAAUCUGAAGGUCCUGGCACACCCGACCACUCUGCCUGCAGCAAAAUGUCGGAGGCCAUUAAGGGGCUGAAGGGUAGGAAAGCAAACUAGCUUCAACAGCCCAUACUAGGCUGGUGAUAAUUCCAGGUAUG